rnacentral:tRNA from 1 species
UCCAGGGUAGCCUAUUGGAGAUGGCAUCUGCCCGGUAAGCGGAAAACUGUGAGUUCGGUUCCCAUCCUUGGAC